rnacentral:ncRNA from 2 species
CAUUACACAAAUAUGAAGGCGGGCUGGAACCUCUCGGGGUUACAGCCUUGCUGAAUUAUUCACCCUUGUCUUUUGCGUACUUCUUGUUUCCUUGGUGGGUUCGCCCACCACUAGGACAACCAUAAACCUUUUGUAAUUGCAAUCAGCGUCAGUAACAAAUUAAUAAUUACAACUUUCAACAACGGAUCUCUUGGUUCUGGCAUCGAUGAAGAACGCAGCGAAAUGCGAUAAGUAGUGUGAAUUGCAGAAUUCAGUGAAUCAUCGAAUCUUUGAACGCACAUUGCGCCCUUUGGUAUUCCAAAGGGCAUGCCUGUUCGAGCGUCAUUUGUACCCUCAAGCUUUGCUUGGUGUUGGGCGUCUUGUCUCUAGCUUUGCUGGAGACUCGCCUUAAAGUAAUUGGCAGCCGGCCUACUGGUUUCGGAGCGCAGCACAAGUCGCACUCUCUAUCAGCAAAGGUCUAGCAUCCAUUAAGCCUUUUUUUCAACUUUUGACCUCGGAUCAGGUAGGGAUACCCGCUGAACUUAAGCAUAUCAAUAAGCGGAGGAAAGUAA